rnacentral:rRNA from 1 species
AGAGUUUGAUCCUGGCUCAGAUUGAACGCUGGCGGCAGGCCUAACACAUGCAAGUCGAGCGGUAGAGAGAAGCUUGCUUCUCUUGAGAGCGGCGGACGGGUGAGUAAUGCCUAGGAAUCUGCCUGGUAGGGGGGGAUAACGUUCGGAAACGGACGCCAAUACCGCAUACGUCCUACGGGAGAAAGCAGGGGACCUUCGGGCCUUGCGCUAUCAGAUGAGCCUAGGUCGGAUUAGCUAGUUGGUGGGGUAAUGGCUCACCAAGGCGACGAUCCGUAACUGGUCUGAGAGGAUGAUCAGUCACACUGGAACUGAGACACGGUCCAGACUCCUACGGGAGGCAGCAGUGGGGAAUAUUGGACAAUGGGCGAAAGCCUGAUCCAGCCAUGCCGCGUGUGUGAAGAAGGUCUUCGGAUUGUAAAGCACUUUAAGUUGGGAGGAAGGGUUGUAGAUUAAUACUCUGCAAUUUUGACGUUACCGACAGAAUAAGCACCGGCUAACUCUGUGCCAGCAGCCGCGGUAAUACAGAGGGUGCAAGCGUUAAUCGGAAUUACUGGGCGUAAAGCGCGCGUAGGUGGUCAGUUAAGUUGGAUGUGAAAUCCCCGGGCUCAACCUGGGAACUGCAUUCAAAACUGACUGACUAGAGUAUGGUAGAGGGUGGUGGAAUUUCCUGUGUAGCGGUGAAAUGCGUAGAUAUAGGAAGGAACACCAGUGGCGAAGGCGACCACCUGGACUGAUACUGACACUGAGGUGCGAAAGCGUGGGGAGCAAACAGGAUUAAAUACCCUGGUAGUCC